rnacentral:rRNA from 1 species
GACGAACGCUGGCGGCGUGCCUAAUACAUGCAAGUCGAACGCAGUGGGGACGGGUGAGUAACACGUGGGUAACCUCCCAUCAGAGUGGCUAACACUUGGCAACAGGUGCUAAACCGAUACUGGUGGAUGGACCCGGGGUGCAUUAGCUAGUUGGUGGGGUAACGGCUCACCAAGGCCACGAUGCAUAGCCGACUUGAGAGGGUGAUCGGCCACACUGGGACUGAGACACGGCCCAGACUCCUACGGGAGGCAGCAGUAGGGAAUCUUCGGCAAUGGGCGAAAGUCUGACCGAGCAAUGCCGCGUGAGUGAAGAAGGUUUUCGGAUCGUAAAACUCUGUUGGUAGAGAAGCGGUAUCUACACAGAAAGCCACGGCUAACUACGUGCCAGCCGCCGCGGUAAUAC